rnacentral:snoRNA from 1 species
ACCCUUCGGAUUCCUUGUCCCUCAGAUCUAAAUAGUGGUCUGAGUGGCUGAAAAAGAAGGAAAAGUAAAACUUAAGUGGACUUGGAGUCUUUAAUAACUUACGAGUUCAUUUCAAACAUCG